rnacentral:sRNA from 1 species
UGGACCGACGCGGAUUACGGUGG